AUCAAGGCAAAGGGUGGCUACUUAGAAGAAUGUCAUAUAUAAAAAAUAUUUUGAUUUGGUCAACACUUUUUUGGUUACUACAUAAUUCCAUGUGUGUUGUUUCAUAGUUUUGAAGUCUUCACUAUUAUUCUACAAUUUAGAAAAUAGUAAAAUAAAGAAAAACCCUUGAAAGAGUAGGUGUGUCCAAACGUUUGACUGGUCCUGUAUAAAUAUAUAAUUAAAAAAUGACAUCCAACCAAGCAAUCUGGUUGUUGUAGGAUAGUAAUCUUAGCAUUGUCAAAUAUGUAACAUGAAAUAGUUGUGUGAAUAUCAUGCUUCUUUGUCAUGUCUCAGGAAGAACACUCUGCACAACACCCAUGUACUGUCAGCUGUUCCGUCAGCUGAGGUUAAGCUACACAGAUGGAAAGUGAAGCAUGGCAGAGUUUAAGUUGAAGGUGAGUAAAAACAUGGACUGACUAACAUAGUUCUACAUCUUACAACUUUCUCAAUGAUUUUGAUGCAUAUAACCAUUGAUAAUACACCACACUGACUCCUCAGGUGAUUUUGAUGCAUAUAACCAUUGAUAAUACACCACACUGACUCCUCAGGUGAUUUUGAUGCAUAUAACCAUUGAUAAUACACCACACUGACUCCUCAGGUGAUUUUGAUGCAUAUAACCAUUGAUAAUACACCACACUGACUCCUCAGGUGAUUUUGAUGCAUAUAACCAUUGAUAAUACACCACACUGACUCCUCAGGUGAUUUUGAUGCAUAUAACCAUUGAUAAUACACCACACUGACUCCUCAGGUGAUUUUGAUGCAUAUAACCAUUGAUAAUACACCACACUGACUCCUCAGGUGAUUUUGAUGCAUAUAACCAUUGAUAAUACACCACACUGACUCCUCAGGUGAUGUUGAUGCAUAUAACCAUUGAUAAUACACCACACUGACUCCUCAGGUGAUUUUGAUGCAUAUAACCAUUGAUAAUACACCACACUGACUCCUCAGGUGAUUUUGAUGCAUAUAACCAUUGAUAAUACACCACACUGACUCCUCAGGUGAUGUUGAUGCAUAUAACCAUUGAUAAUACACCACACUGACUCCUCAGGUGAUUUUGAUGCAUAUAACCAUUGAUAAUACACCACACUGACUCCUCAGGUGAUUUUGAUGCAUAUAACCAUUGAUAAUACACCACACUGACUCCUCAGGUGAUUUUGAUGCAUAUAACCAUUGAUAAUACACCACACUGACUCCUCAGGUGAUUUUGAUGCAUAUAACCAUUGAUAAUACACCACACUGACUCCUCAGGUGAUUUUGAUGCAUAUAACCAUUGAUAAUACACCACACUGACUCCUCAGGUGAUUUUGAUGCAUAUAACCAUUGAUAAUACACCACACUGACUCCUCAGGUGAUUUUGAUGCAUAUAACCAUUGAUAAUACACCACACUGACUCCUCAGGUGAUUUUGAUGCAUAUAACCAUUGAUAAUACACCACACUGACUCCUCAGGUGAUGUUGAUGCAUAUAACCAUUGAUAAUACACCACACUGACUCCUCAGGUGAUGUUGAUGCAUAUAACCAUUGAUAAUACACCACACUGACUCCUCAGGUGAUUUUGAUGCAUAUAACCAUUGAUAAUACACCACACUGACUCCUCAGGUGAUGGUGAUGCAUAUAACCAUUGAUAAUACACCACACUGACUCCUCAGGUGAUGUUGAUGCAUAUAACCAUUGAUAAUACACCACACUGACUCCUCAGGUGAUUUUGAUGCAUAUAACCAUUGAUAAUACACCACACUGACUCCUCAGGUGAUGUUGAUGCAUAUAACCAUUGAUAAUACACCACACUGACUCCUCAGGUGAUUUUGAUGCAUAUAACCAUUGAUAAUACACCACACUGACUCCUCAGGUGAUGUUGAUGCAUAUAACCAUUGAU